UGCAAGUCGAACGGUGAACACGGAGCUUGCUCUGUGGGAUCAGUGGCGAACGGGUGAGUAACACGUGAGCAACCUGCCCCUGACUCUGGGAUAAGCGCUGGAAACGGCGUCUAAUACUGGAUACGAGUAGCGACCGCAUGGUCAGUUACUGGAAAGAUUUAUUGGUUGGGGAUGGGCUCGCGGCCUAUCAGCUUGUUGGUGAGGUAAUGGCUCACCAAGGCGUCGACGGGUAGCCGGCCUGAGAGGGUGACCGGCCACACUGGGACUGAGACACGGCCCAGACUCCUACGGGAGGCAGCAGUGGGGAAUAUUGCACAAUGGGCGCAAGCCUGAUGCAGCAACGCCGCGUGAGGGAUGACGGCCUUCGGGUUGUAAACCUCUUUUAGCAGGGAAGAAGCGAAAGUGACGGUACCUGCAGAAAAAGCGCCGGCUAACUACGUGCCAGCAGCCGCGGUAAUACGUAGGGCGCAAGCGUUAUCCGGAAUUAUUGGGCGUAAAGAGCUCGUAGGCGGUUUGUCGCGUCUGCUGUGAAAUCCGGAGGCUCAACCUCCGGCCUGCAGUGGGUACGGGCAGACUAGAGUGCGGUAGGGGAGAUUGGAAUUCCUGGUGUAGCGGUGGAAUGCGCAGAUAUCAGGAGGAACACCGAUGGCGAAGGCAGAUCUCUGGGCCGUAACUGACGCUGAGGAGCGAAAGGGUGGGGAGCAAACAGGCUUAGAUACCCUGGUAGUCCACCCCGUAAACGUUGGGAACUAGUUGUGGGGUCCAUUCCACGGAUUCCGUGACGCAGCUAACGCAUUAAGUUCCCCGCCUGGGGAGUACGGCCGCAAGGCUAAAACUCAAAGGAAUUGACGGGGACCCGCACAAGCGGCGGAGCAUGCGGAUUAAUUCGAUGCAACGCGAAGAACCUUACCAAGGCUUGACAUAUACGAGAACGGGCCAGAAAUGGUCAACUCUUUGGACACUCGUAAACAGGUGGUGCAUGGUUGUCGUCAGCUCGUGUCGUGAGAUGUUGGGUUAAGUCCCGCAACGAGCGCAACCCUCGUUCUAUGUUGCCAGCACGUAAUGGUGGGAACUCAUGGGAUACUGCCGGGGUCAA
rnacentral:rRNA from 1 species